rnacentral:rRNA from 1 species
CCUACGGGAGGCAGCAGUAGGGAAUUUUCGUCAAUGGGCGCAAGCCUGAACGAGCGAUGCCGCGUGAGUGAAGACGGCCUUCGGGUCGUAAAGCUCUGUUGCGGGGGAAAAAAGGCAGCAUCAGGAAAUGGGUGCUGACUGAUGGUGCCCCGCCAGACAGUCACGGCUAAAUACGUGCCAGCAGCCGCGGUAAGACGUCGGGGGCGGGCGUUAUCCGGAAUGAUUGGGCGUUAAGGGUGCGAAUGGGGUACUGCAAGUCUGGAGUGAAACGCAUGGGGCCAAAACAUGCAUGGCUUUGGAAACUGGAGAACUGGAGAGCAGGAGAGGGCGGUGGAACUCCAUGUGUAGCGGUAAAAUGCGUAGAUAUAUGGAAGAACACCAGUGGCGAAGGCGGCCGCCUGGCCUGUUGCUGACGCUGAGGCACGAAAGCGUGGGGAGCAAAUAGGAUUAGAUACCCGUGUAGUC